UACGUAGGGUGCGAGCGUUGCCCGGAUUUAUUGGGCGUAAAGGGCGCGUAGGCGGCUACGCACGUCCGUUGUGAAAUCGCUCGGCUCAACUGGGCGGGGUCAGCGGAUACGGCGUAGCUGGAGCAAGCUAGGGGGCAAUGGAAUUCCCGGUGUAGUGGUGGAAUGCGUAGAUAUCGGGAGGAACACCAGUGGCGAAGGCGGUUGCCUGGAGCUUUGCUGACGCUGAUGAGCGAAAGCGUGGGGAGCGAACAGG
rnacentral:rRNA from 1 species